CGCGAAGAACCUUACCAGGUCUUGACAUACCGUUGACCGUCCCAGAGAUAGGAUUUUCCCUUCGGGGACAAUGGAUACAGGUGGUGCAUGGUUGUCGUCAGCUCGUGUCGUGAGAUGUUGGGUUAAGUCCCGCAACGAGCGCAACCCCUGUCGUUAGUUGCCAGCAUUCAGUUGGGGACUCUAACGAGACUGCCAGUGACAAACUGGAGGAAGGUGGGGAUGACGUCAAAUCAUCAUGCCCCUUAUGACCUGGGCUACACACGUGCUACAAUGGUUGGUACAAAGAGAAGCGAAGCGGUGACGUGGAGCAAACCUCAUAAAGCCAAUCUCAGUUCGGAUUGUAGGCCGCAACUCGCCUACAUGAAGUUGGAAUCGCUAGUAAUCGCGAAUCAGAAUGUCGCGGCGAAUACGUUCCCGGGUCUUGUACACACC
rnacentral:rRNA from 1 species